ACAUUCCUGUAUUCAACAUGCCAAUUGCAGGCUCUCUCAACUUGAGACAUCUGUGGCGUUGUGUGACAAACUGCACAUUUUAGUGGCCUUUUAUUUUCUCCAACACAAGGUGUAAACAAAUUUGUGCACAACAUUUGAGGGAAAUAACCUUUUCAAGGAUCUUUAAUUUCAGCUCAUGAAACAUGGGACCAACACUUUACAUGUUGCGUUUAGAUUUUUUUUCAGUAUAGAUAACCACCGACUGUAGUUACAUGUACAAUGCACAUUACCCUCCUUACAAGUAUAAAAAAAACUUUUAAAAAACUAGCAUAUAAUAGCAUAAUGAAUGUUGUGACCUCUUUAUUGAAAAUGUUUCUUUAUAAACAUUGCAUGCCACAGAUGUAGGACCUGAAUGUAGAAAUCUUGGUCUGCUGGCCAGUGCCCAAAAUCCUUAUGUUAUUAUCCCUGCAUGUCAGUACCUUUCAGACAAUCCCCCUAUCACUGUUGGUCCUCUUCAGUGACCUUAUGGCUGAUGGUUUUAACUUUCCUCUUGAGAAUUAGAAUCAGAAGUAGUUGUAUAGCUCAUUGCAAUACUUCACCUCUUCUGGCAAAUAGUAACCUAGACUGUCCUGAUCAUCUAGUUGAUCAUUCCAGAUAAUUCCUUCAUCUCAGCAGAAAUAACCCAUCCACAUAGUAUGAUUUUAGAUGUGCAGAUAGACCAAAGCCCAGUCUAUUUUACUGUUACUAUAGUCAAGUCUGUGGGUUAUGGUAUUUUAAUGUAGAUAUCAUUUCAGUAAUCAAUUUAGCUAGCUAGUAAAAGUAACUUUUGUUGUCUUUCAGGUGGGAUGGACUGGAAACCCAGUGACAACACUUGGGUUUGUAGCUGCCCUUUUCCGGUGGGAAUGAGAAAAGCCCCUGUAUUUACCAGAAAAGUCCAACAGGAGUGCAUCCCUCAGUCCAUCCAGUGCAUGGACAUCCCGUGCCAGUGUGAUCCGGUUGUGGAGACUACAGCAGGACAAGCCUGUAGACAGACAGACAUGAUAUGCGGAACAUCAGGCUCACCCCACGAGAAGCAGUGCAUGGUCAACGCCGCCCUCAGCAUGGAGAUCUGCUGGAAGUGAUGUACUUUCUCGCUCUGGGGGUAAGACAUAAUUUAAACAUCACAGAUAUAAAUUCCCACUGUGCCCAUGAUGAAAUGCAACUGUGAAUUGUGCUGUACUACUGAAUGAAACAGGAAAUGCACUCAGACCAGCCUUUGUGAUUGAACUUACGUUAGCUACAUUACUUUAGUUGGCUGCUUUGAGCAAAACUUGUACGGUGCAUCCAAAGUAUUCAGACCCCUUGACUUUUUCCACAUUUUGUUAUGUUACAGCCAUAUUCU
rnacentral:lncRNA from 1 species